GUGCUCACUUUGGAAGUACCUAUACUAAAAUUGAAAUAAUAUAGAGAAAUUAUUAUGGCACCUGCACAAGGAUGACAUGCAAAUUCGUAAAGUGUUCCAUACUUAA
ensembl:snRNA U6 U6 spliceosomal RNA